rnacentral:rRNA from 1 species
UUAACAAAAACAUGUCUUUUUGAAUUUAAAUAUAAAGUCUAAUCUGCCCACUGAUAAAUUAUUUAAUGGCCGCAGUAUUUUAACUGUGCAAAGGUAGCAUAAUAAUUAGUCUUUUAAUUGAAGGCUUGUAUGAAUGAUUGGACGAGAUAUAAGCUGUCUCAUAAAAAUUUUUUUUAGAAUUUAAUUUUUUAGUCAAAAAGCUAAAAUAAAUUUAAAAGACGAGAAGACCCCGUAGAUCUUUAUAUUUUUAUUUUAUUAUUAUUAUUUAGUUUUUUUAUAAAUUAAUAAAUAAAAAUAUUUUGUUGGGGUGACAUUGAAAUUUAAUAAACUUUCAAAAUUUAAUAACAUUAAUUUAUGAAUUUAUGAUCCUUUAUUAUUGAUUAAAAAUUUAAGUUACCUUGGGGAUAACAGCGUAAUUAUUUUGGAGAGUUCAUAUCAAUAAAAUAGAUUGCGACCUCGAUGUUGGAUUAAGAUUAAUUUUGGGUGUAGCAGCUUAAAGUAUUAAGUCUGUUCGACUUUUAAUUUCUUACGUGAUCUG